rnacentral:tRNA from 1 species
GGGCGAGUGGCGGAAUGGCAGACGCGCUAGGUUCAGGACCUAGUGUCCGAAAGGAUGUGGGGGUUCAAGUCCCCCCUCGCCCA